UACGAAGGGGGCUAGCGUUGCUCGGAAUCACUGGGCGUAAAGCGCACGUAGGCGGAUCUUUAAGUCAGGGGUGAAAUCCUGGAGCUCAACUCCAGAACUGCCUUUGAUACUGGGGAUCUCGAGUCCGGAAGAGGUGAGUGGAACUCCGAGUGUAGAGGUGAAAUUCGUAGAUAUUCGGAAGAACACCAGUGGCGAAGGCGGCUCACUGGUCCGGUACUGACGCUGAGGUGCGAAAGCGUGGGGAG
rnacentral:rRNA from 1 species